AUUGAACGCUGGCGGCAGGCCUAACACAUGCAAGUCGAGCGGAUGAAGGGAGCUUGCUCCUGGAUUCAGCGGCGGACGGGUGAGUAAUGCCUAGGAAUCUGCCUGGUAGUGGGGGAUAACGUCCGGAAACGGGCGCUAAUACCGCAUACGUCCUGAGGGAGAAAGUGGGGGAUCUUCGGACCUCACGCUAUCAGAUGAGCCUAGGUCGGAUUAGCUAGUUGGUGAGGUAAGGGCCUACCAAGGCGACGAUCCGUAACUGGUCUGAGAGGAUGAUCAGUCACACUGGAACUGAGACACGGUCCAGACUCCUACGGGAGGCAGCAGUGGGGAAUAUUGGACAAUGGGCGAAAGCCUGAUCCAGCCAUGCCGCGUGUGUGAAGAAGGUCUUCGGAUUGUAAAGCACUUUAAGUUGGGAGGAAGGGCAGUAAGUUAAUACCUUGCUGUUUUGACGUUACCAACAGAAUAAGCACCGGCUAACUUCGUG
rnacentral:rRNA from 1 species